AUAUACACCUAGGUAUUAAAACCAUGAUACAGACAUUUGUGUAACGGACACGUAUAUCACAAUUAAGAAAUUCAGCGACGCUUGACAAGUAGUAUGGUAUCAUAACUGGCUCUUAUAUGAAUUACGACGUUACAACAACGAGGAUGUGUUAAUAUUGAUUUUCGUCGAAAAUACUGAGAUACGCGCAAAUGGAUAUACCAGAAUUGCUUGCAGUUUAACAAUUGACUUCUAAAUGAGUUUCGUCAUCAUCAAACUACAACAGCGAAAAUGUGUUGUGUAUUUAAUAGUUUGGAUUAUGGAUAAUAUACUCUCCACGCUGAGAUCCAUUUCAAUGGAUACACAAGAUGACAGCUCGUUGGACAUGGGUAGACGUAUUUACAAUGUCACAUCUGACGUGUGAAUUGACACGUGUCUCAACCUUUCGACAUGUGUCAAUCAGAUUCUGGGUGUUGGACCUUGCCAGGUGGUACUUCGUGGACCAUGAUGGAAUGACCUUCGAGUGCGUCAUAUGCGGAAAAAUGCAUGCAUAUAGAGAAAGAAGAUUUUCUGAAGAUGAGUUGCAGUCGAUUCAUCAUACCGACUGUCGAGUACGAAUCAAUGGAGUCCGGACACGUAACUAAUGCUAUAUGGAUGGAAACCAGACAUCAACGCCUUCUUCAUAUCUACUGCGUCAAAAUGCAACACCAAAACAAAAGAGCAAAACGAGUCUUCAAGUGUAAACAGAAGCUAUAUUAGGCAUGUACUUGGUUAAAAGAGAAAAACAGACACUUUACCAUAUUUUUUUGCAUAAAUUUCGAAAAAAAACAUUAAGAGAACAACUGUGGAUAUCUGAUUAAUGAAAAUAAAAGACAUGCAUUAAAAUGUCUUUUCUUAUGAUAUAGAAAAUGUAUUCAUAUAAACUAUAAAUCGUCAAAACUAAAACUAGACAAUUCAGAGAGAAAUAUCUCA